rnacentral:rRNA from 1 species
AGCGAACGCUGGCGGCAGGCUUAACACAUGCAAGUCGAGCGGGCCCUUCGGGGUCAGCGGCAGACGGGUGAGUAACGCGUGGGAACGUGCCCUUCGGUUCGGAAUAACCCUGGGAAACUAGGGCUAAUACCGGAUACGCCCUUAUGGGGAAAGGUUUACCGCCGAAGGAUGGGCCCGCGUCUGAUUAGCUUGUUGGUGAGGUAACGGCUCACCAAGGCGACGAUCAGUAGCUGGUCUGAGAGGAUGAUCAGCCACACUGGGACUGAGACACGGCCCAGACUCCUACGGGAGGCAGCAGUGGGGAAUAUUGGACAAUGGGGGCAACCCUGAUCCAGCCAUGCCGCGUGAGUGAUGACGGCCUUAGGGUUGUAAAGCUCUUUUACCCGGGACGAUAAUGACGGUACCGGGUGAAUAAGCCCCGGCUAACUUCGUGCCAGCCGCCGCCGUAA